AAUGCUACUAUUUCAGUCCAUCCUUGCAUUGCCGGCGUUGCUACAGCCCUGCUGCUACAGGAGCUAGUGGUGGGGUGAUGGAGUCCACGCGGUUUCAGAAGCUUUUAAUUAGAUGGUUUGUCUGAUUGUGGAAUGAAGAUGAAAAGAGAAGAGCUGGUGGUGGGUUUGUUGAGGUUCAGAGCAUUUGUGCGAGUGUUAAUGAAGAACAACCCAUUUAACCAUACAACCAUUUUUUUUAAGGCACAGAUUGGUGGCCCUUGUUUCUGUUAACAACAAACAACAUGGUUUUGGAGAAAUAAUAUGUGGCCGAAUUUGCUUAGAAACACCUGCUUAGAUUAUGGGAGAUUAUGCUUUUUGUGCUCUCAGUGGAAAGUCAGUUUGAGAUUCAGUGGAAAGUUGGUCUUGUUUGCGCUCCGUUGGUAGCUGAAAGGAAAAGUAAUCCUUUUGAUAAUUUUUUUAGAGAAUGAAAAAUCUUGACUAUUUCUUUCACUGUUAUGGGAAAAAAAUUUAUUC